rnacentral:rRNA from 1 species
UAGGGAAUAUUGCUCAAUGGGGGAAACCCUGAAGCAGCAACGCCGCGUGGAGGAUGAAGGUUUUAGGAUUGUAAACUCCUUUUGUAAGAGAAGAUUAUGACGGUAUCUUACGAAUAAGCACCGGCUAACUCCGUGCCAGCAGCCGCGGUAAUACGGAGGGUGCAAGCGUUACUCGGAAUCACUGGGCGUAAAGAGCGCGUAGGCGGGAGAGUAAGUCAGAUGUGAAAUCCUGUAGCUUAACUACAGAACUGCAUUUGAAACUACUUUUCUAGAGUAUGGGAGAGGUAGGUGGAAUUCUUGGUGUAGGGGUAAAAUCCGUAGAGAUCAAGAGGAAUACUCAUUGCGAAGGCGACCUGCUGGAACAUUACUGACGCUGAUGCGCGAAAGCGUGGGGAGCAAACAGG